rnacentral:rRNA from 1 species
UACAUGGGGUGCAAACGUUGCUCGGAAUUAUUGGGCGUAAAGCGCGCGUAGGCGGUUAUCUAAGUCGGAUGUGAAAGCCCUCGGCUUAACCGAGGAAGUGCAUCCGAAACUGGGUAGCUAGAGUACGAGAGAGGGUCGCGGAAUUCCCGGUGUAGAGGUGAAAUUCGUAGAUAUCGGGAGGAACACCGGUGGCGAAGGCGGCGACCUGGUUCGAGACUGACGCUGAGGCGCGAAAGCGUGGGGAGCAAACAGG